rnacentral:rRNA from 1 species
AACGAACGCUGGCGGCAUGCCUAACACAUGCAAGUCGAACGAGACCUUCGGGUCUAGUGGCGCACGGGUGCGUACCGCGUGGGAACCUGCCCUUAGGUUCGGAAUAACUCCCCGAAAGGGGUGCUAAUACCGGAUAAUGUCUUCGGACCAAAGAUUUAUCGCCUUUGGAUGGGCCCGCGUUGGAUUCGCUAGUUGGUAGGGUAAAAGCCUACCAAGGCGACGAUCCAUAGCUGGUCUGAGAGGAUGAUCAGCCACACUGGGACUGAGACACGGCCCAGACUCCUACGGGAGGCAGCAGUGGGGAAUAUUGGACAAUGGGCGAAAGCCUGAUCCAGCAAUGCCGCGUGAGUGAUGAAGGCCGUAGGGUUGUAAAGCUCUUUUACCCGGGAUGAUAAUGACAGUACCGGGAGAAUAAGCUCCGGCUAACUCCGUG